GUUAGCAAUUUUCUAAAAUAAUUAAAUAAAAAUUGAAUUUAUGUUUGAGACAUUC
rnacentral:tRNA from 1 species